AUACGUAGGGGGCAAGCGUUAUCCGGAAUCACUGGGCGUAAAGGGUGCGUAGGUGGCUUAUCAAGCCAGGGGUGAAAGGCAUUGGCUCAACCAAUGUAAGCCUUUGGAACUGAUAGGCUUGAGUGCAGGAGAGGUAAGUGGAAUUCCUAGUGUAGAGGUGAAAUUCGUAGAUAUUAGGAGGAACACCAGUGGCGAAGGCGACUUACCAAGUUAUUACUGACGCUCAGGCAACGAAAGCGGUGGGGAG
rnacentral:rRNA from 1 species